rnacentral:rRNA from 1 species
AGGACGAACGCUGGCGGCGUGCCUAAAACAUGCAAGUCGAACGAGGGAGCAAUCUCUAGUGGCGAACGGCGGAGUAAGACAUGAACAACGUGCCCUGAAGUCCGGGACAAACGCAGAAAUGCCAGUAAAUACCGGAUGUGGCCCAAGCUCGGCAUCGAGUUUGGGAUUAAACGGAUUUUCGCUUCAGGAGCGGUUCAUGGCCUAUCAGGUAGUUGGUGGGGUAAUGGCCUACCAAGCCGACGACAGGUAGCGGGUCUGAGAGGAUGAUCCGCCCGAGUGGGACUGAGACACGGCCCACACACCUACGGGUGGCAGCAGUUGGGAAUCUUGCACAAUGGGGGAAACCCUGAUGCAGCGACGCCGCGUGGAGGAUGAAGGGUCUAGGCCUGUAAACUCUUUUACCAGGAAAGACUUAGGACGGUACCUGGGGAAUAAGGACCGGCUAACUACGUAGCCAGCAGCCGC